UACAGGGGGUGCAAACGUUGCUCGGAAUCAUUGGGCGUAAAGCGCACGUAGGCGGCUUUGCAAGUUAGAGGUGAAAGCCCGGGGCUCAACUCCGGAAUUGCCUUUAAAACUGCAUCGCUAGAAUUGUGGAGAGGUAAGUGGAAUUCCGAGUGUAGAGGUGAAAUUCGUAGAUAUUCGGAAGAAACACCAGUGGCGAAGGCGACUUACUGGACACAUAUUGACGCUGAGG
rnacentral:rRNA from 1 species